rnacentral:SRP_RNA from 1 species
GCCAGGUGCGGUGACACAUGCCUGUAGUUACUCGGGAGGCUGAGGCUGGAGGAUCGCUUGAACUCAGGAGUGCUGGGCUGUCGUGUGUUAUGCCGAUCAGAUGUCCGCACUAAGUUCAGCAUCAAUACGGUGACCUCCCAGGAGCGGGGAACCACCAGGUUGCCUAAGGAGGGGUGAACUGGCCCAGGUCAGAAACAGAGCAGGUCAAGACUCCCGUGCAGAUCGGUAGUGGGAUCGCGCCUGUGAAUAGCCACUGCACUCCAGCCUGAGCAAAAUAGGGAGACCCGUCUCU